CUGAUCUGGUCUUAAGAACCCCGGUGGCGGGUUGACAUAUGCAAGGGUUAAGUGCUACAUAUGUCGUGUGAUUGGAGAUCCUCAGCUGAGUAUAAUCGAUUCGGAUCGCCGUACCUUCGCGGUUAUGAAGACUUGGUCACUGCCCUAUACGUAGCAAUCCAGUGAAGAUGAAGGGCUUGUUAAUAAAUUGGCUUGUGCAGGUCAAGUGUUUGAACCAGGGUAGAAAGAACUCUAGAUGCAGGUAACUUUACUUAACCGGACAAUUAAAAUUGGAUUUUAAGGAUUCACUCAUAGUAAGCUUUUCUGCAAAACAGAGUCUUUGAUUCUUGAUAAGCCAUACCUUGAAUCCCUCUAGCCAGCAUACCCUUGAGAGUCUUUUCUUUAGUCGGCUAAGUCUUGCUGAGUAAUUCCGUACUCAGGGUUUUAUUCCCUGUUGUUUUUCAGUUUCUAACUUUGUGAUGCUGUUGAUGGUGUUAAGUGCCGGUGGGCUCUGCCUUCUUAUAAGUCUAAGUAACCCUUCUAUACUUCUUAUCGAGGAUGGUCCCUUGAGCUAGCAUAUAUUUCAAACUUAUACUUUUGUAAUCACUCCGAUAAAAAUUAUGUAAAAUUUUUGUAACCUGUAAAAUUUAGUAAUAAGAUUUCCGCUGCAAAAAUGAUGAUGUGUGUGAUUGGUAUUACUUAAUCCCGCGGUUCUGGUUGAAAGUGGUUUAUCCGAUGUCCUUAGGGCAAUCGGACAGAUCCUGUUGAGUUAUCUGGUGCACAUGCAUGGCCGUCUGAGGUCUUUGGGACAAAGACAGGUACAUGUGGGCCCAAUAACUUGGAGGUUCUGCCACAGGCUGGUAUCGGAGCUGGAUUAAGUAUAUACGGUCACAUACGUAUUUUCAAAACAAAGGUUUUGGCUUUGAAAAACCUAUUUUCAACUAAACACAUUGUUUGGCUUUGAAAAACUAUAAUGCUAGCGACAUCCUCUGUUAAGCCCUAAACUAAGGACUAUCAGGUGGCUUAGUUGAAAACCAUAACCGGGUGGAUAUUGCAUACAUGUGUAUUGUUAUUUUUGAGGCCAUUCAGUCUUGAAUGGAUCGACGCUCAAGGUAAGGUGAGAUGUGAGAGCAUGACCGAACAACCAUCGGUCUAGGGAAGUGCUAAAUUAUAGCGCUUGAUUAUAUACAUGUUCUACAUAUGUAUAUAUGAAGGCUGCGAUGUGGAGUAUUUACUUUUCUGGGAAUUCAGUACCCCAUGGAUGUGUACGGGGAUACAGACAUGGGAAUACUGAGAAGUGUAAUGUACUUGUAACGACGCACCUACGCUCAGGUAAGAAGGUGAGUUACCAUAAUGAGUUGCCCUAUGGUUAAAGUGUGGCAACGGCGCCUAUGCGUAGCUCAGCGCUUAAUGAUGAGCUGGCCUCCAUAUAGCAAUAUAUGGAGUAUAAACUGUGAUAAAUUGUCAUGUGUGACUUGCAUCAUUGGGAAUUAGGCUGUAAUGGAUUUUCUGCAGGUACACUAACCUCGAAAACGUAUGUGUAGUUGACGACUAGCAAAAUACCGUGAGAGCUAUGCGUAUGCCACUGAUAUAGAACGCUAUUGCCACAAUAUGUUGGCAAAAUCAGUGAGGACGCAUAGGACGAGCAUGCAUCCUGAUUGUUGCAUCAUGUUUGUCACCUAUACACCUAAAAUGCUUCUCUCAUCCUUAUUCUAGUAACCAUUGAUUGUAGAUAAUCUAGUGUAAUGUGAAUUAUGAACUUCGAUAAAAUAGCUGUCCUCCGUUCCUUAGGUAUUAUGUUUAGAUGCUAUAUGUGUGCUCUUGUGCUUAAUGUGUCGAUAGAAGGUUAGUGACUUAAUUGCCUAAACCCAAAACCAGGCCAUAUUCUUAUUUAGUGAACCAUGUCCAAAUUUGAAUUUACCAUUAUCCCUCCAUGACCAAACUCAUACAAAUUUAGGUUAUGGCCAUGCCCUAUUCAUUUCAUCGGGCCAUGAUCUAUUUGGCUCUCUACUUGUAACCAUCCUUACAGGUGGAAUAUCUCUUUGUAUAUUGUCACCCUUGCCCAAUCCAUUGGUGUCGCGUGGGAUUUCUUAUUGGUUAUGUCUGAUAACGGUGUUAUGACUAAAACCUAUGGUGCCAUGACGAAACCGAGGGCCUUUUGUGUGUGCGCACAUGGUUGCGCUACUCGGCACACGCUAGUAUCACAGUUAGUAGUCAUAAUCCAUUAUGAGAUUAUAUCAAUAUGUUAUCUUCCGUAGACCUCUUCCUUGAAACAAUUUCUAUGUUGUUUGUGGAGUGAUCAAGCAACAUAUGUCAUCUCCGUUGGAUCAAAAGGACAUACCACUUUCAUGUGUGGUCUUAUUUCUUUUGAUCUUGGUAGUGACUAACCACAUAAGUUCCCUUUACAUCCUUUGUGUAAAGGUGAAGCCUUGGAGCUUUUUAGUGUUGAGCGACAACUAAUUAGCUCUCAAAUUGGAGAUUAACUUUCCCUGCUGUUGAGAUGUAGGAGUUUGUUCAUUCGCUCUCUUAUUUAAUCCAUGUAUUCCUUAUCCAAGUAGAUAAUUCAUCUCUUAUGGAAGAAACAGAUGAACAACAUGACCAAAUGGAUUUCUACCCCAAAUGCAUGACCUUUUGCUAGCAAAUGUGAACUCUCAACCCUUGGCUUACCGAUGGUAUUGAGAGGACCUGCUCAAUGUCAAAAGUAGUUCAACAAGCUGGUUUUACUAACUUGUACUGCUUUGUCAACAAUGGUUGAGUUUAGAGAUCAUUUUGUCGAGUUAUCUAAACUCACAUUGGUUCAAUCCAUCCUAGGAAGGUACUUGUAAGAAUCAAGUCAAGUUGGCCAAUAACCACCUAAUUAUUGCUCUAAUCAUGCCUCGAUCGCCUCGCGUGUGCUUUUCCAGCAUGUGUGAUCAAGUCGAGCCAUGAUUAGUGCUUGCUAAAAUGGACUGGUUGUAAAGUCCGUAUCUACAGAUCCCUCUGCUGGUGAUUUUCUCGAAUCUAUACCAUUUUUCGUGGACUUGAAUUCUCGGGUUCGCCACAUGUUAACCGCGAUAGUAUUCGACAUCCACAUCCGUCACAUGUGCUACGAACUUAUCAUGACCACUUGUUGGUAAACCUACUUUUAUGUGUUUUACCCAAGAUGGUGCAUCUGAUUCUGUUUGGGUAAAAUCGCGUAUUUGCUGCUUGCUCAACAGACUCAGAUAGUACAUUGUCAUCAGAAAAAGCAAACUGCACACAUGGAACCUUAUGUGUUCUGCUGGCAGACGUCGUCUCUAUUGGUGGACAUUUCUAGAUUAGCCUAAGGCGAUUUAUGUUCUGUCCACUAGAGAAAUCACAUCCUGAGACACUCGCCUUUAAUUGGAAAUGUCUCACGAUUAUCAUUGAUAUGAACAUGGGUUACAUACUUCUCUACCCUUAGAAGUCUUUCGCUCCGAAUCUCGGGACGAGAUUCUUUUAAGAGGGGAGGGUUGUAACACCCCAGGUGUUCCGCUCGACAACGAGUACGAAUUUAAGCACGUAAUCAGUGGAUAAAACAUAUGCUAAAUUUUAAUCAUCCUCGUCUAUCGCGAUUUUAAUAUCGCAUCUGUGCCGUCUGUCGCGAGUGCGACGUCGUUUUUAUUUUCAUCUAUUCGGGCUCGUCCUAAUUUUUCGUGCUGUGCGGAACAUAUUUGUUCUGAAAAUCGGUGCGUCCGAUGAUUAAUUAAAAUUCGUCGCUCGCGCGAAUACGAAUUCGAAAGCCCGACCCACUCGAAUAAUUUUUAUCCAUAAACAAAUUUAUUUAGAACUCGACGAAAGAAGUUUUCGGAACAAAUUACUAGAGCCGGGAUCAGUUUAAUCCUAUUUGUCUCGUUUAUCGUUAUCAGUAAAAUUUUGGUCCGACUAAAUUAGACCACGCCCAAAUCCUAAUACCAAAACCCGGAUGUCUGAAAUUUGUUUCGCUAAAAUAAAUAAGAUUCAGAUGAAAUCUGUUGGUUCGAACCAUAUCAUCAGUAUCGUCGACUCGUUUUGUGGUGAUUUGACCCAUUAUAUAUCACUAAAGUGAUACAAAAUCAUUUGAUUCUAAAGAGUUUGCCAAAUAAAAACCGUGUUACAAGUACUGUCAAUCCUUUUGUUGUCGCUAAAAAUCCCAAUCCACAAACAUCUAUGAUUUUUCGGUUAAAGAAAUUGAAAAUCCGGAAAAUGUAAAAAAAAAUCCUCGUCGAUCUCAUUCGAUGCCGCCCUCCCCUAGGAUUUUUUUGGACGUCGCCGCCCCUCGAUCCUUUAAAUGCACGCGCCGGUCCUUCCCCUCUGCCGGUGGCCAUGGCAGCCGUCUGGCCGGGCUCAACCCCUGCCCAUCUCCCUGGUCGCGACCGCCCAGCUCCCUGCUCCUCUGCCCCAAGCUUUUUCCUCGCGCGAACAGCUCCGCUCGGCUUCAUCUCCCUCUGGCGCCGUCGGCCGGAUCUCCCAUGGCGAGUUUCCCCUGAUCGGCGUCCCUGCAGAGUCCAUGGCCGAGCUCCCCCAUGGCGCCCCCUCUCUGCUCGUCUUCCACCGCACCCGAUGCCGCCCGGCCGCCAUGGAAAUCGCCCAGCCCGCUCUCCUUCCUCCUCCUCUACUCCUCCCUGAAACUUUCCCCAUGGCGCCUUGCUUCUCUACACGCCUGGCCUACUCCCAACUCUCGCGCGCGUCUCUCUGCUUGCACAGGCACCAGCUCGGCCACCUACCUCCCUGUGCUCGGCUCCCUGGUCUGAUUUCUCUCAGCUCCUCUCUCCAUGGCCACUGCCCAGCUCCAUCUCGACCUUCAGCGCGCCCCUGGCCCCUCUGCUCGAGUUCGCCCAUGGCUGUUGUUCCCUGGACCUUGUCGCGCCCCUGGCUUGGUCCCAGCUCGGCGCCCCAAGCUCCCCUGUGCGCGCUCAGCUUGAAGCCUGUCCUCGGCGCCCGGCUUUCCCCAAGUCCGGCCAUCGCCUCACUGGUCGUGUGUCUGAAAUCCCUGCCGAGCAACUCACCUCAGCCCCCAGCUCGGAUCCGCUGCAAGCUCGGUCCGGCCCUUUGCUGCAGCUCGCUCAUCUCCCUGCGCAGUCGUGCUCAUCUUCUCGGUCUCCACUACGAGCAGUGAACGUCCCUGCUCUCUCCAUUCUCUGGCCACGGACUCCAUGGAGCAGCAGUAGCCUCAGCUCGGCAACACCAAUCGACUUCCUGGAACCAGUGUUCUAGCCCCCUUCCUCCCUCAAGUAUGGCAGCCAGAGUUUUCUUGCUCGGCUCUAGGAUACGCAAGCCGCCACCAGCCCAGCUACUCGUCAUCGUGUGCGCGCCGGUUGGGAGCUCACCAACGACGACGGUCGCGCUCGCUCAGCUAUGUAUCCACGCCCUUCCUGCCGCAGCUUGUGCCCGUCGUCCUGCCUGCUCGAACUACCCCGCGCCUCGGACCCUGCCCGAUUGGUGUGCCUUGUGGCCUGUUGGCAUGCUGGUCAGCCGGCAACAGCACCUGAGUCCCUAGCAGACUUGCGGUAGAGACCUCACCAAAUCGCGCCCUUGCUCGACGCCGGGGAUGACCUCGUGGAGCACCGCUGCGAGCUCCCAGCGCCCUCACCUUCGGUCUCACUCUUGCCAUGGACGUCCUGUGCUCUAUCUCAUCAUCACCGUUCGCGUCGGAUACCAAACCUUCGCAAGCCCCAGACGUGUCGUCACCACCUUCAUGCGUUGCCAUUCACGUUUUAUGUUCAUACCGGCAAAAGAAUCCCAAAAUAGUGUGGAAGAACGGGUAGAUGGGGAUGAAAGCGAGGCCAGUGUGUAUAGCUCGCAUGGUGUUCUGCUGAAAGCUUCACCUGGUGCUUAUCGUCAUUCUUGCAGGAUUCAAGUUUGAGUUAAUAUGGUAAGCCGAUUCACUACUCAUGCUAUUGAUUCGAUGUCCGGAAUGGUUAUAUAUAUAUAUAUAUAAUGGUCGAUGAUUAUCUUGUUUGCAACGUAUGCAUUGUGGCGGCAUUAGACAUUUGUUAAAAUGAUCCAUAUAUACGGUAUGUGGUUAAAUCAGUUAUACGAAGGACCUGUCGAGUGUUUACAACGUCUAACUAAUAAGUGUCGUCAGUAUUGCUUGUGAGGGAUUGUGUUCGUAUUUGACAAAUAAUUGUGUCACGUAAAGCUUAGGUUUAAAUGCAUAUUAUGAUAGAAAUGUAUUACUGAAUAUAUAAAUCCAGUAUGAUUGGAUUGAUAAUAGGAAAAGCAGGUUAAGUAUUUUAAUCGACUCGCGGGCGGGAUUUACCAGUGUUUCUAGGUUUUUAGGUGUUAAAGCUAUAAUUUUAUGGAAUUAUAUUAAGUGGAUAAUGAGUUGUCUGCUAGAUCUAAAACUAAUAUGAUAUUCAUGUAAUUAGCGUGUUAUCCAAAUUAGUCAAAAUAAGUCAUUUAGAAAGUUAGUUAAUGUGCUUCUAUCCUUAUUCUAAAUUAGAUGUCUAAGAGUAAUGACUCUAAGUUUAUUAGUCUUUUAUUGUUCUAUAAUAUUCAGUCUAGUUUUAGAUGUUAUGCUCUAAUUUGUAGCUUGUGUUCAAUUAUUGUUGAUUGGAUGUUUGAAUUAAGUACAAUUAUCUCGAAGAUUAUAAUUACCAUAGAGUCAUAGUUAUCUAGUGUGCGUUCAUAGGAGCCGCGAUAUAUCGUCACUAAGUGUUUAGUUCUUGUCGGUGUAGCACUAUUUAGGUUUAUAAUAUUCUUGUCUAUAUGCAUUCAUGUGCAUAAUGCAUGCCAUUCAGGUACGUUAAAUAAGCACGUGAUGCGGAAGACGACCCAAGUCGACCCCAAGCGCGGGUAAUCCGCAGGAUGAUACUGAUGGACAAACCAAAAUAUGGAUAAUCUGAACGAGUGCCAAGCCAAAGGAUACUCGCCAAGUCGUCGUCUAACGACACUAACCUAGUGUUACUCAGACAAGCCUCGGUGCAUUUGCCACCUCCUUGAUGUUUUUAAACCUUUCUCACUUGCCUGAUGCAUUAGGUGAUAGGAGUUGAUUGCUAAAAUAAUUCCUGCAUUACCUUCCUUGAAUUUGAUUACCUUCCUUGAUCACCCAUUUUGCAAAAGAUUUUUGAUGCUUAGCCUUGCUUUAGAAAAACAAAAUAUUUUGUUUUUACAAAAUAUGAUGUGGCAAAAGUGGGUGGGAUGUUUUCGAAAAUAAAACUUGAUGGUGAAUCUGUCAAAGGCCUUGAUGGGUUCAACAUUGGAAAAGAUGUACCUCUGCCAGGUACCAAACUUUGGGUUGAAAUGAUUAAGCUGAGACCGGGCGGGUGACUUGCACGAGAAGAGAGUCUCGGUGUAGUGUCUCCGUCUGAGUCGAUUAAGGAUCGUGUCGAUGUAGGCUUGCUGACCGAGGACCCUUUAACUGGUCACAUGCCUCGUCAUGGGUAAGCCUUGCCUCAGGCAGACUAAGGCCAGAAUAAGAUAACACGAAAUGGGCGUGGAGCGGUGGCGAGAGUAGUGUGUACCCUCCGUAGCAAGAGGCUGGACGGUGGUGUAUCUGUGCUCUCGGUUUGCGUGAACCUGAUCUGGUCUUAAGAACCCCGGUGGCGGGUUGACAUAUGCAAGGGUUAAGUGCUACAUAUGUCGUGUGAUUGGAGAUCCUCAGCUGAGUAUAAUCGAUUCGGAUCGCCGUACCUUCGCGGUUAUGAAGACUUGGUCACUGCCCUAUACGUAGCAAUCCAGUGAAGAUGAAGGGCUUGUUAAGAAAUUGGCUAGUGCAGAUCAAGUGUUUGAACCAGGGUAGAAAGAACUCUAGAUGCAGGUAACUUUACU
rnacentral:lncRNA from 1 species